rnacentral:rRNA from 2 species
GUGGGGGAUAACUGCUCGAAAGAGCAGCUAAUACCGCAUACGACCUGAGGGUGAAAGCGGGGGAUCGCAAGACCUCGCGCAAUUGGAGCGGCCGAUAUCAGAUUAGGUAGUUGGUGGGGUAAAGGCUCACCAAGCCAACGAUCUGUAGCUGGUCUGAGAGGACGACCAGCCACACUGGGACUGAGACACGGCCCAGACUCCUACGGGAGGCAGCAGUGGGGAAUUUUGGACAAUGGACGCAAGUCUGAUCCAGCCAUGCCGCGUGCGGGAAGAAGGCCUUCGGGUUGUAAACCGCUUUUGUCAGGGAAGAAACGCUCUGGGUUAAUACCUCGGGGUAAUGACGGUACCUGA